rnacentral:lncRNA from 1 species
CUCAGAAUCACAUUUAACCAUUUAGAGUCAUAAUACCCAUUUGCUAAGGUCUGAAGUUUCUGAACCAUGGUUAAUGCUACCAGGUGGAGGUUGCAUACAUAUUUGUGUUCCAGGGUGGCUAAGACAUGCGCAUUUGAAGCAAUUCUUCCUUUCUCUCAGGUAGGAAGCUCUAGCCUGGAGAUGCUCCAGCCAGUAACAGGUACACAUGCAGCCCAGUGGGCAGAUUAAUGCUAGUUUAAAGUCAGAAACCCUGAAAUUUCUGGAGUCCAGAUAGCAGGUUAUUAGAUGGGGUUAUUUUCACAGAUCUGCUCAAAGCAUUCUGCAAUAGACAAUGAUGCAGAGAUAGCAUGAGAUACUUAUCUGUGCUAACACAUGCUGCUUUAGACAUGU